rnacentral:rRNA from 1 species
ACUCAAAUGAAUUGACGGGGACUUGCACAAGCAGUGGAUUAUGUGGUUUAAUUCGACGCCAAACGAAGAACCUCACCAGGGUUAGAAAUCUAACUGAAUACUUUAGGAAACUAGAGUAGUCUCACAAGGACAGUUAGACAGGUGAUGCAUGGCCGUCGUCAGUUCGUGGUUUGAACUGUUCCCUUCAGUGGGGUAACGAACGCAACCCUCGUUGCCUGUUACAAGUGUCAGGCGAGACUGCCCCCGUUUUUGUUUCAAAAUCCGAAAGGAUUUGGAAAUAAAAACGGGGGAGGAAGGCGAGGAUGACGCCAGGUCAGCAUGUCCCUUUGAUAUCCUGGGCUACACACAUAAUACAAUCGCACACACAACGAGACGCAAUGUGGUAACACGGAGCAAAUCUUUAGAAAAUGUGCGCCAGUUCGGAUUGAGGUCUGCAACUCGACCUCAUGAAGCCGGAAUUGCUAGUAAUCGCGGGUCAGCUAUACCGCGGUGAAUACGUUCUCAAGUCUUGUACACACCGCCCGU